UUAAUUGAAGCCAAAAUAGAGGCCCCCAUUGUUAAUGGGUACACUGACUAGAAUAUUAGUCCAAUUAAA
rnacentral:tRNA from 1 species